rnacentral:lncRNA from 1 species
AGAAAGAAAAAUAAGGAUGGGAAGAAGAGCUACAAUCAGGUAUCUCUGUGAGCUACUUUGCAUCAGUCCUGGACAUUUCAAGGUGCUCUGAUAGACUUCUGGGAGCACUCACUGACAAGGCUUUAAGUGGCAUGAGUAACAGAGUCACUUACUGAAGUAACAGAAAGAAGAAAGCUUUGCAAGAGGAAAUGAAUGAGCUCAGCUCCAGAUUGUCCCCCGUCCACAUGUGACAGGCACAUCUGGUUACCUACUCUAGUGAGUGAAGAAAUGGAUCCAGCAGGAAGAGGAAGCCAUAUAAUACUCCCCAGGAAUGCUUAACAGAGGAUUUCUCUGCCUUUCACGGAAAAUAGGAGUCUUGAGGGAGCAUCCUGAGCAAAUUAAGAAGGAUAAUUUGCUUGCUUGAGUUGACUGCUUUAGUUCAGUAGGUAGAAAUAUGUAGAAUAAGGAUAACAAGGUAGGUCAAGAGUUGAAAAAGACAAUACAAGAAGCAAUUGAAAUCUUUAACAG